rnacentral:rRNA from 1 species
UCCUACGGGGGGCAGCAGUGGGGGAUAUUGCACAAUGGGGGGAACCCUGAUGCAGCGACGCCGCGUGGGUGAAGGAGCGUUUCGGCGCGUAAAGCCCUAUCGGCAGGGAAGAAGAUGACGGUACCUGACCAAGAAGCCCCGGCUAACUACGUGCCAGCAGCCGCGGUAAUACGUAGGGGGCAAGCGUUAUCCGGAUUUACUGGGUGUAAAGGGGGCGUAGACGGCAGGGCAAGUCUGGAGUGAAAGGCGGGGGCUCAACCCCCGGACUGCUCUGGAAACUGCCAGGCUGGAGUGCAGGAGGGGUA